AUACGUAGGGGGCGAGCGUUGUCCGGAAUGAUUGGGCGUAAAGGGCGCGUAGGCGGCCUGUUAAGUCUGGAGUGAAAGUCCUGUUUUCAAGAUGGGAAUUGCUUUGGAUACUGAUGGGCUUGAGUGCAGGAGAGGUUAUCGGAAUUCCCGGUGUAGCGGUGAAAUGCGUAGAGAUCGGGAGGAACACCAGUGGCGAAGGCGGGUAACUGGACUGCAACUGACGCUGAGGCGCGAAAGUGUGGGGAGCAAACAGGAUUAGAUACCCUGGUAGUCCACACUGUAAACGAUGAAUGCUAGGUGUAAGAGGUAUCGACCCCUUUUGUGCCGGAGUUAACACAAUAAGCAUUCCGCCUGGGGAGUACGGCCGCAAGGUUGAAACUCAAAUGAAUUGACGGGG
rnacentral:rRNA from 1 species